GCUUACGGCCAUACCACCCUGAAUGCGCCCAAUCUCGUCUGAUCUCGGAAGCUAAGCAGGGUCAGGCCUGGUUAGUACUUGGAUGGGUGACCGCCUGGGAACGGCUCAUGACCCCCCCAAGUC
rfam:Larimichthys crocea isolate SSNF unplaced genomic scaffold scaffold215, whole genome shotgun sequence.